rnacentral:rRNA from 1 species
GACGAACGCUGGCGGCGUGCUUAACACAUGCAAGUCGAACGGAAAGGCCCUGCUUUUGUGGGGUGCUCGAGUGGCGAACGGGUGAGUAACACGUGAGUAACCUGCCCUUGACUUUGGGAUAACUUCAGGAAACUGGGGCUAAUACCGGAUAGGAGCUCCUGCUGCAUGGUGGGGGUUGGAAAGUUUCGGCGGUUGGGGAUGGACUCGCGGCUUAUCAGCUUGUUGGUGGGGUAGUGGCUUACCAAGGCUUUGACGGGUAGCCGGCCUGAGAGGGUGACCGGCCACAUUGGGACUGAGAUACGGCCCAGACUCCUACGGGAGGCAGCAGUGGGGAAUAUUGCACAAUGGGCGGAAGCCUGAUGCAGCAACGCCGCGUGCGGGAUGACGGCCUUCGGGUUGUAAACCGCUUUCGCCUGUGACGAAGCGUGAGUGACGGUAAUGGGUAAAGAAGCACCGGCUAACUACGUGCCAGCAGCCGCGGUGAUACGUAGGGUGCGAGCGUUGUCCGGAUUUAUUGGGCGUAAAGGGCUCGUAGGUGGUUGAUCGCGUCGGAAGUGUAAUCUUGGGGCUUAACCCUGAGCGUGCUUUCGAUACGGGUUGACUUGAGGAAGGUAGGGGAGAAUGGAAUUCCUGGUGGAGCGGUGGAAUGCGCAGAUAUCAGGAGGAACACCAGUGGGCGAAGGGGGUUCUCUGGGCCUUUCCUGACGCUGAGGAGCGAAAGCGUGGGGAGCGAACAGGCUUAGACACCCUGGUAGUCCACGCUGUAAACGGUGGGUACUAGGUGUGGGGUCCAUUCCACGGGUUCCGUGCCGUAGCUAACGCUUUAAGUACCCCGCCUGGGGAGUACGGCCGCAAGGCUAAAACUCAAAGGAAUUGACGGGGCCCCGCACAAGCGGCGGAGCAUGCGGAUUAAUUCGAUGCAACGCGUAGAACCUUACCUGGGUUUGACAUGGAUCGGGAGUGCUCAGAGAUGGGUGUGCCUCUUUUGGGGUCGGUUCACAGGUGGUGCAUGCCUGUCGUCAGCUCGUGUCGUGAGAUGUUGGGUUAAGUCCCGCAACGAGCGCAACCCUUGUUCACUGUUGCCAGCACGUUAUGGUGGGGACUCAGUGGAGACCGCCGGGGUCAACUCGGAGGAAGGUGGGGAUGACGUCAAGUCAUCAUGCCCCUUAUGUCCAGGGCUUCACGCAUGCUACAAUGGCUGGUACAGAGAGUGGCGAGCCUGUGAGGGUGAGCGAAUCUCGGAAAGCCGGUCUCAGUUCGGAUUGGGGUCUGCAACUCGACCUCAUGAAGUCGGAGUCGCUAGUAAUCGCAGAUCAGCAACGCUGCGGUGAAUAAAUUCCCGGGGCU